rnacentral:rRNA from 1 species
CCCUUAGAUGUUCUGGGCCGCACGCGCGCUACACUGAUGCAUUCAACGAGUCUAAAACCUGCUCUGAUAGGGGUGGGUAAUCUUUUGAAUGUGCAUCGUGAUUGGGAUAGAUGAUUGCAAUUUUUCAUCUUCAACGAGGAAUGCCUAGUAAACGCAAGUCAUCAGCUUGCAUUGAUUACGUCCCUGCCCUUUGUGCACACCGCCCGUCGCUCCUACCGAUUGAGUGUUCCGGUGAAUAAUUCGGACUGCGGCUGAUUGGGGACUCUUCAGUCGGCUGUGGAAAGUCUAGUGAACCUUAACACUUAGAGGAAGGAGAAGUCGUAACA